CCGCCUUGCCGCAGCCUACCAUGCAGUCGAGCGGUAACAGAUCCAGCUUGCUGGAUGCUGACGAGCGGCGGACGGGUGAGUAAUGCAUAGGAAUCUGCCCGAUAGUGGGGGAUAACCUGGGGAAACCCAGGCUAAUACCGCAUACGUCCUACGGGAGAAAGGGGGCUCCGGCUCCCGCUAUGGGAUGAGCCUAUGUCGGAUUAGCUAGUUGGUGAGGUAACGGCUCACCAAGGCCACGAUCCGUAGCUGGUCUGAGAGGAUGAUCAGCCACAUCGGGACUGAGACACGGCCCGAACUCCUACGGGAGGCAGCAGUGGGGAAUAUUGGACAAUGGGGGAAACCCUGAUCCAGCCAUGCCGCGUGUGUGAAGAAGGCCCUCGGGUUGUAAAGCACUUUCAGCGAGGAAGAACGCCUAGCGGUUAAUACCCGCUAGGAAAGACAUCACUCGCAGAAGAAGCACCGGCUAACUCCGUGCCAGCAGCCGCGGUAAUACGGAGGGUGCAAGCGUUAAUCGGAAUUACUGGGCGUAAAGCGCGCGUAGGUGGCUUGAUAAGCCGGUUGUGAAAGCCCCGGGCUCAACCUGGGAACGGCAUCCGGAACUGUCAAGCUAGAGUGCAGGAGAGGAAGGUAGAAUUCCCGGUGUAGCGGUGAAAUGCGUAGAGAUCGGGAGGAAUACCAGUGGCGAAGGCGGCCUUCUGGACUGACACUGACACUGAGGUGCGAAAGCGUGGGUAGCAAACAGGAUUAGAUACCCUGGUAGUCCACGCCGUAAACGAUGUCGACCAGCCGUUGGGUGCCUAGCGCACUUUGUGGCGAAGUUAACGCGAUAAGUCGACCGCCUGGGGAGUACGGCCGCAAGGUUAAAACUCAAAUGAAUUGACGGGGGCCCGCACAAGCGGUGGAGCAUGUGGUUUAAUUCGAUGCAACGCG
rnacentral:rRNA from 1 species